rnacentral:rRNA from 1 species
UACCAGCACCCCGAGUGGUCGGGACGAUUAUUGGGCCUAAAGCAUCCGUAGCCGGUUCUGCAAGUCCCCCGUUAAAUCCAGCUGCUCAACAGAUGGGCCGCGGAGGAUACUACAGAGCUAGGAGGCAGGAGAGGCAAGCGGUACUCAGUGGGUAGGGGUAAAAUCCGUUGAUCCAUUGAAGACCACCAGUGGCGAAGGCGGCUUGCUGGGCCGGACCUGACGCUGAGACGCGAAGGCGUGGGGAGCGAACGGG